rnacentral:lncRNA from 1 species
UUCAGCUACAGUCUAGAUGCUUUGUUUGUAACCCCAUUAAUCCAGCCCUAUAAAGCAGGACCCUUAAGUGGUAGCUUCUGCAGCCAUUUACAUAGCACGGCCAUCACUUACUGCAGCAAGUGCACACCCCUCUAGAAUUCCUCUUAUUAGGUCCUCUCACUGACAACAUUGAGUAAAUAAUAAUUUUUAGUAUGAUUUCUACUUACAUAAUUCAUUUAGUAAUUCGGGGUUUUGACUUGUAAACAUACCUGUAGGAUUUUUUAGGUCCCUUUGGAUUUUUGCAAUAAAUGUAUUCCCAUCAGCUUCUGUGUGUGUGUUCCAACAAACAUUCCUGUUUAUAUUUUGGGCUGCAUUUGAAAUUGUUAAUUCUUUUGAGAAAAUUCCUUGAAUUUACUCUGUAGGUUUAUAAAACUCAGCCAUUUGUAUACUGUAGUUGGGAAAUAGUAUCUGUACAACUGGACACUUAAUGUUGGCCUCCUGAGUUUGAGAAUGGAGGAUUCACCAUCUUUUCAGUUAUUAGUUCACUUGUUUUUCCUUUGUUUUUAAACUAUUAUCCAAAUGGCAAACAAUCCGAAAUGUUUUGCACUGAAAAUGUGUUUUUUAGGUGUCCUGAUUGUUUAGUAUGUUUUAUUUACCUUUAAGACCAAAUUCUUCCAUGGACAAGAAAAUAUCAAUAAACACCCAUAGAGAUGCAAUCCUUAAACUUGGGACAUAUGGGAAAACUGAAUUUAAGGAAUUUAUCAAUAGGAUAACAGCAGUUUUGGAUUAACGUGUUUUGUGUAGUAUGCUUAGUAUUAGAGUAUUCAAGAAUCUUGGAAUAUUUAUUAAGCAAAGAAUUUACUGAUUUCCUGUGCUCCUUUGUAUACUGAGAAGGUUUCCUCACAUCACAAAUUUAUAUUUUAGAAGUAUCCCCU